rnacentral:lncRNA from 1 species
CUGUGCUCUAAGCUUCUGGGAUAAGCUCAGAGCCACCCGUGACUCUGAACUGGAAAAAUCGAGUAAAUGAUGAUCUUACCUGUUUGCAUUCAUCUUUCUUAAAUGAACUUCAAGUCAUUUCACCACUCUGAACCUCAAUGUGCUGAUCUUCAAAAUGGGAGUGAUCAUGAAGUCUUCUUCAGCCAAGCCAUCACUGAGCCUAGUAAGAAAAUUAAUGUGUUGAGUUUGGUCCAGUGCCUGGUGAGCAAUUAACAAGUGGUGAUGUCUUCACUCACCCAAGGGACAAUGAAGCAGGCGGGUGCCUACCUGGUAAAUGACAGUUGACACUAUGGAAAAAUCAAUAUACGUGGGGAAAAAUGGCUUUGAAAGUUGGGGUUCCCCUUCUGAGCCAACGGGAUUCUUCAUCUUGAACAAGAGGCAACUGAAGUCCUCAGUUCAUUUGAAUAUAGGUCCUCCCAGCUCCCCCGAAGACACUGUAUUAAAAUUUGAACCACAGGCUUUGGUCAGCACCUCCCUGAGCUGUUGCUUUUGAGGAGGGCUUAGAGCUCAGAUCUUUGGUAACUAAGCUCUCAUCAGCAGAAACAAGAAGGAGAGGACCAUGUGCUCUGGGCAAGAAAUCAGCCUAGAGCUUAACUCCAUCUGUUCCAGUGGUAGGGAAGGGAAAAGGGAAGCAUCUGGUUGCAGCUUAAAGCUUCUUAUAACCAAGUGAAGUGCCUGCACUCGGCAUAUAGGAGCCGCAUGAAGAGAGAAGGACUGUUACCAUCUGCCCUAAGAUGGAGACUACCGUCCAGCUAUGUGCACCCUGAGACAACUCACUCUCCAAUUCUCCACGUUUGAGAAUUUCAGGCCUCCUGUAAAAGGAUAAAGGCUCUUUCUCCGGUCCCUAGAUGUUAUCACCUUGCAGAACAGCGUAUGCACACCACUGGCUCACUUCAUUUUAGUCUCCUUCCUUCCAGGAAAGAUUAAGAAGACAACAUCAUGCGUUGGAAACAAUGCAGGCUUCAGAGCUGGAAGGACUUUGGAUCUGACUCUUGGCUCAGCUUCUCAUUAGCGACUUUUGAGCAUCAACGUCUUCAUCUGCAGAAAGAAGGUAAUAAAAUAAUAGGCUUCCACAGUAUUUCUGAGGAUCCAGUGAGACAAUGGUGAGUGAGAAACACUGCACAGUGCCUGAAACCUAGUGGGUGCUCCUCUAGUAUGUAUAUACCCUGAAUUGUUUCCCUCUGUCUACAAUUACCAUGCCCCCCUCAACUAAGCAAACAAAUAAGAACCCACAGUUUUUCUCCCCUUUUGUGUCAUUUAUGUCAGCAUUUGUUGACUGUAAUUUUACAGCACAUGAGUUGAAAGGUGAGUUGCCAGUAGUAAGAUGGGAAAAUGUUACAGAAUAGCUCAUAAGACAGAGGGUUCCAGAGUAUAGCUGCUUCACGUUUUUCCAUCUAAGGCUUCACCACUGACCAGCUGGGUUAAGGAAAUAAGCCUCAGGCUCCAACUCUAUAAAAAGGGGAUAAUAGUACCUACUUAUGAGGUGUCGUGAAGACCAAAUGAGAUGCUCACAUCACAGCAUUUCAUAGACUGGAAAGUCUAUGAAUGUAUGUAUGUUGGAAAACAUACAGUAAAUGCUCAAAUUCAGCUGUCAUUAUUAUUACUACUUAGGAGAACUGAAAUUUAUAGAUCAUUUAAUUUUAAAAAAUCAGUCCUCGUUCAGACUUACCCCUAGAGUAAUGUCACUUUCUUUUUUAGCAUUCUGAAAUGCUUCCCUGAGUGGAAGAGAAAGGAACAGAGCCAUAGCUACAAGCCAAGAAAUGCCCAGAAUCCUAAGCAUGCCCAUGGGAAUGUCGUGCAUAAGGAUGGCAUGUGAUGCCUGCUGUCCUAACCCAGAUCAUAGCGCAUAGACAGUGUUUAUGAGGAGCCAGGCAUUAUUCUAAGCUCUUCAUGCAUAUUAACUAAUUUCAUCCUCACUACCACUCCAUGAAGUAAGUGCUGUUAUGAACACCAUUUAUGUUAAUACAUGAGGAAAACGGCACAGAGAUGCUGAAUGACUUGCCCAAAACUGCACAGGGCAAGUAUCAGCCAGGAUUUGAACCCAGGCAGUCUGGCUCUAAGGUCUACCUUCUAUACUAUAUUACCUAGAAAAAGAAAGUCCUUCAUUAAAGUACUUAACUUCCAACAAUUGACUGCCUAAUGGAGCUUUAGGGCACAACUAGAGUGUAAAGCUGGGAUCAUUCACACUUUCUGUAUUCCAUUUGGAAUUCCAUUUCUGCAUUUAAAUUUAUUUAAGCAGAUGAAUCCCAGAUAAAGUAGAAGCCUUUGGAUGCAGCCCUCCCUGGCAGCUGGGCAUCCUUCCCAACCACCCAUGCCAGGCAGCAUUCUAGGAUGGCCCCAACGAGUGACAGCCAUCUAUCAGCCCCUCCCCUUCAGCGCAGGCAGAAACUGUAACUGGCUUCUAGCCAACAGGGAGUAUGAAGAAGGUGGUGGGAGGUCACUCUCAUGGUCUUAUUACAGAGGGAGAGAUUCUCCCACUGGCCUUGAAGAAAUGAGCAGCUAUGUUGUGAGAAGGCCCAGGAAUUGCGAGGAAUCCAGAUGCUGACAGCAUUCCCCAGCUGGCAGCCAGCAACUGAGUAGGGACCUCAGUCCUCCAGCUGAAAGGAACUGAAGUCAGCUGAUAAUCAUGAAAGCUUGGAAAACGAUCCCAAACUCCAGAAAGAAACACAGGCCACGGGCACUCUGAUGGCAGCCUUGUGAGAUCCUGAGGACAGGAUCCAGAAGUCAUGUCUAGACUCUUGGCCUAUGCAAACUGUGAGAGAAUAACUAUGCUAUUUUAAGCUGCUAAGUUUGUGAUUGGUUAUGUUGCAAUAGAAAACAAAUAUGUACUACUUUUGUCAUCCUGCAGGUGAAAAAAAUUGUAUUUGAAAAGCCUAGAUAAGGCCAGGUGCAGUGGCUCAUGCCUGUAGUCCCAGCACUUUGGAAGGCCGAGGUGGUCAGAUCAUGAGGUCAGGAGUUUGAGACCAGUCUGGCCAACAUGGUGAAACCCUGUCUCUAUUAAAAAUACAAAAAAUUAGCUGGGCGUGGUGGCGGGCGCCUGUAAUCCUAGCUACUCAGGAGGCUGAAGCAGGGGAAUCACUUGAACCCGGGAGGCAGAGGUUGCAGUGAGCCAAGAUUGCGCCACUGCACUCCAGCCUGGGCAGCAGUGCAAGACUCUGUCUCAAAAAUAAAAAUAAAAAUAAAGCCUAGAUAAUACCAGAGGGAUUAAAAACCAAAGCUUCUAACCAAUCUCACUCCUUAACACAAAAGGGUGUCUUUAUAGGUAUUCAAUUAAAAAUAUAAAAGAAAAAAUGCAGGCUGAUUCCCUAUCUAAGAUCACAAAUAUAUCAACAGAGAAGUGUUUCUUUCCUUUGAGCUAAUUUUUUUCCCAAAUGGACAUUUUUCCUGCUUUUGCAAGUUUGCAGACUCAGAAAGCAGACAGUACCUCCAAAGUCUAUCUUGUUCAUUUGCCUGGCUCCACAAAGGGCCCCAUCUAAAUCAAAUUUAAUAAAGAGGUGUCUACUCUUACUUAAAAUUCUCCCUUGACAUUCCAGUGACUUAAAACCUUCAACCUCAGAAAAUUCUUUCUGUCCACUCAAAGUUCUUCUCCCUAAGCCUGCCUGCCUUUGGCUCAUUCUCAGAGGAGAUGGAAAGCAUGCUGUCUGCAUCUUAUGCACAGUAACACUUCAUAUAUUUGAAGGCAGAUAAAUCCCUCUUAAUGCUUGUCUUCCUGAAGCCAAAAUCCCCUCACUCCCACCCUGUCUCUCCAGUUCCCUGAUGGCUCUUACAACGGUUUCCUGCUACCUGUGUCUUUCUCUUCCUAGAGUGUGUGAAAUCCAACCACAUGAAGUAACAAUUCCCUAUCAGGAUAGAGGAAUCAGAGAUCUCAUUUUACCACAACAUAGCUGGAAAGGGCCCCCAUGGAUUACAUGGGGUUAAAAAGAUCAGGAACAAGAAUCAGGGAAGUAUUAAGGAACCAGGAGCUGGUGAAAAUUCUUCUUAGGGAAUUAAGAAGGCGCUGGCAGAUGCAAGUAGAAAUUAUUUUGGAAAGAAAAUUCAUCAUGGACACUGUAAGGAGAGAGAGGAGUUGAAGAAGAAGGAAAUAAUCUAAUUAAUUUCCAUGAGUGGUUCUUAAAGUGCUUUAUCAGGACCACCAAUAUCAGCAUCUCCUGUACUCAUGUCCUAGGGCUGCCCAUAACAAAUUACCACAAGCUGGCGGCUUAAAACAACAAAGGUGUAUUCUCUAACAGUUCUGGAGGCUAAAAGUCCAAGACCAAGAUGUCAGCAGGGGCACAUUCUCUCUGAAGGCACCAAGGAAGGAUCUGUGCCAUGCCUUCCGCUUAGUUUGUGCCAUUGCCAGAAAUCGUUGGCCUACUUGGUUUGUAGACACAUCACUCCCCUCUCUGCUUUUGUUGUCACAUGGCAUUCUCCUCUGUGUCCCUGUCUGUGGGUCUCUCCUUAUUAGGAUGCCAGGCAAAUUGGAUUAAGGGCCCACCCUAUUCUAGUAUGACCUCAUCUUAACUAAUUACAUCAGCAACAAUUCUAUUCCCAAAUAAGUUUUUAUUAUGAGGUCCCGGGAAGGACAUGAAUUUGGGGCUUGCUAUGGGCUGACUGUUUGCAUCACUCCAAAACUUAUAUGUUGAAAUCCUAACCCUCAAGGUGAUGGUAUUAGGAGGUGGGGCCUUUGGGAGGUGAUUAGGUCAUGAGUGUGGAGCCCUCAUGAACUCGAUUAGUGCCCUUAUAAAAGAGAUUCCAAGAGAGAUCCCUUGCCCCUUCUGCCAUGUGAGGUUAUAAUAAGAAGACAGAAAUUUUUGAGGAAGCAAGCCCUCACCAGACAUCAAAUCUUUUAGCACCUUGAUUUUAGACUUCCCAGACUGUAGAACUGUGAAAAACCAAUCUCUGUUGUUUAUAAGCUACCCAGGCUACAGUAUUUUUUUAAUGGCAGCCCAAAACGGAUUAAGACAGAGGACACACACUCUGACCCAGCAUAUCCAGGAACUAGUCAUAAAUGCAAAUUCUUGAGUCCCACCUAAGACCUACUUAAUCAGAAGCUCCGGGGGAGGGGCCAAGUGAGCCAUGUUUAACAAGCCCUCCAGGUGAUUCUGAUGCUUUGGAGAACCAUUGAUUUUGAUGCAACUGAGGCAUUUCCCAAAAUGCACCAAAGUGAUCUUGACACAGUUCAGAAAUGUAUAGAAAUAGGGGAGAGGCCGGGUGCAGUGGCUCAUGCCUGUAAUCCCAGCACUUUGGGAGGCUGAGGUGGGCGGAUCAUGAGGUCAGGAGUUCAAGACCAUCCUGACCAACAUGGUGAAACCCCGUCUCUACUAAAACUACAAAAAUUAGCUGGACGUGGUGAUGCACACCUGUAGCCCCAGCUACUCGGGAGGCUGAGGCAGGAGAAUCACUUAAACCUGGGAGGCGGAAGUUGCAGUGAGCCGAGAUCCUGCCAUUGCACUCCAGCCUGGGCGACAGAGCAAGACUCUGAAGAAAUAGGGGAGACUCCUCAGCAACACACGAGGCUACAAGGAGUAAACUUCUGGGCCACUUCAUCUGAAAUCAGCUCUAUGAGUAUAUUUCGGUGGUGAAACAUACUGUUUUGCUAUGAAUACAUUUAGAGGGUUCCUUGCACUUAGAGACCAAGGACUGAUUAUGACUGUUUUCUGUCAUCAUGCACUCAGGGGCAGUUGAGAAAAGCUCUGAGUGGAACAAGAUUCUGAUCAUAGACCACAGUUCAUAAAGGGCCUUCCACCCCUGCUGAAGGGACUUAUCCCCAGCCCAUCAUAGUACAAAAGAACCUGAGGACCGUAACCUCCAGAAUGCAAACAGAGCCCCCAGAAACUGGUCUGACAUUCAGAAUUGACCAAGUCAGGGAUCAAGGCAGUCCAGAAGGAAAAUACACCAACUCUUAGCCCACGGGAAGAAGAGAAGCCAUCCUCGAAGGAAACAUUUCCAGCUUCCUAUUCACUGAAUAGACACACCUGCCUGGGAUGCUAGAUGAGGCUCCUGAAUUUUAGUACCGUCAGCAGAACUUCUGGCCGUCUGGGAAGCUUCAUGCUGUAUCCUCUAAACUUGCUGAGUUUUUAUUGCAGAGUGUGGCCUGGAGAUUUUGACUGUCUCUAGGGGUGCAGUAAAUGAAGGGACAUGAAAAGAAAGUAAGAUAGCAUUCAAAAACACCCCUUGCAAGUGUGUAAUGGAAAAUAAUCACACCGAAAAUAAAUGGCAAUGUGUCCUUCGGGGACCCUGUGCUGCUGCCUUGAGCCUGGGUUUCUAUUCUUCUGGAAGGAAUUAAUGCAGUGAUGGCGGCUCCUGCGCAGGCUGCAGGCUCAGGUUUCCUAGACAAUAUCCUGACUGUGGACACAUGUGUCUUAGCAAGAUAUAUGUCCACUGGCUUGGGAGAGUACAAUGGCUGCUUGGUGGCUUAUUAGAGGAGAGAAUAUAUUAAGCAAGACAGCAGUUUUUAUUUUUAAAAUUCAGGCUCUUUCUGACUCAAAGAUGCCUGGAGGAAUAAUACUGCUUGCUACCUUGAUUUUUAUGUGACCUUAUUUCUCCUAAAAGCUUCUUAAGAGAGAAAUUGGGCCAUUUAGAUAGUCAGGUAUUGCUCAGAUUCUGUGACUAUUCUACAAUGUGCUUGAGAUUUGGGGAAUUCACAGCCAUGUGGGUUCUGUAUCUAAAUAGUAUGGAUGCUCCCAGUCAGCUGCCUCAUUUGCAGGCAUAUUUUGCAGGGAAUCAACUGGGACUCCCCUUCCCCACCCCCUGCCCCUUGCAGAGGUUAGGAGGAGGAGAUGAGACAAGAUAUUAAGUAGAUGAGACCUGUCGCCCUCCCUAAGGUCCACCCUGCUCACCUCUUUCCACAGAGGAAACCCUCAGACAUCUACCCCUUCCCAACCCCAGCCUACUAAUCCUUCCUCCCUCCCCACUCCCUGCCAAUCCCCAACAACAGAGCAAGGGGGAAAGCUUUGUACUCUGCCUGCCCCAUGACUGCUUCUCGUGGGCAACACCAUUUGAAACUAAGAGACACAAUUUCUAUUUCCAG